rnacentral:rRNA from 1 species
GGAAUCUUCCGCAAUGGACGAAAGUCUGACGGAGCAACGCCGCGUGAGUGAGGAAGGCCUUCGGGUCGUAAAGCUCUGUUGCCAGGGAAGAACAGGCACAUGUUAACUGCAUGUGCUGUGACGGUACCUGAGAAGAAAGCCCCGGCUAACUACGUGCCAGCAGCCGCGGUAAUACGUAGGGGGCAAGCGUUGUCCGGAAUUAUUGGGCGUAAAGCGCGCGCAGGCGGCCAUGUAAGUCUGAUGUUUAAGCCCGGGGCUCAACCUCGGUUCGCAUCGGAAACUGUGUGGCUUGAGUGCAGAAGAGGAAAGUGGAAUUCCACGUGUAGCGGUGAAAUGCGUAGAGAUGUGGAGGAACACCAGUGGCGAAGGCGACUUUCUGGACUGUAACUGACGCUGAGGCGCGAAAGCGUGGGGAUCAAACAG